rnacentral:lncRNA from 1 species
AAUAUUUGGGCUGAAAUCUCUUAUUUAAGUUCAAAACAAUGUUAUUUCCUAUUUCUCUUAUGUGGCGGCUAGGUUUAAUAGUUUUACUAGGGUUUCUUAUGUUAGGUGGCUAUAAAAACGCCCCUUAAGGUGUGUUUUAGGGAUUCGAAUUUUGAUUAAAAUUAUAGUAGUUGUUUCCUUUGCAUAUUUGCUUGAAUUCUUGAAUUCUUGUUGAAUACAUA